rnacentral:rRNA from 1 species
UACGUAGGGGGCGAGCGUUGUCCGGAGUUACUGGGCGUAAAGCGCACGCAGGCGGUCUGCUAAGUUUGGAGUGACAGUUGGUGGCUUAACUGCCAAGGUGCUUCGAAAACUGACAGACUUGAGGGCUUCAGAGGGACACGGAAUUCCGGGUGGAGUGGUGAAAUGCGUAGAGAUCCGGAGGAACACCAAAGGCGAAGGCAGUGUCCUGGGGAGUACCUGACGCUCAGGUGCGAAAGCCAGGGGAGCGAACGGG